UACGGAAGGCAGCAGUGGGGAAUAUUGCACAAUGGGCGCAAGCCUGAUGCAGCCAUGCCGCGUGUAUGAAGAAGGCCUUCGGGUUGUAAAGUACUUUCAGCGGGGAGGAAGGCGAUGCGGUUAAUAACCGCGUCGAUUGACGUUACCCGCAGAAGAAGCACCGGCUAACUCCGUGCCAGCAGCCGCGGUAAUACGGAGGGUGCAAGCGUUAAUCGGAAUUACUGGGCGUAAAGCGCACGCAGGCGGUCUGUUAAGUCAGAUGUGAAAUCCCCGGGCUUAACCUGGGAACUGCAUUUGAAACUGGCAGGCUUGAGUCUUGUAGAGGGGGUAGAAUUCCAGGUGUAGCGGUGAAAUGCGUAGAGAUCUGGAGGAAUACCGGUGGCGAAGGCGGCCCCUGGGACAAAGCUGACGCUCAGGUGCGAAAGCGUGGGGAGCAAACGAGGAUUAGAUACC
rnacentral:rRNA from 1 species